UUUGAGAAGUCCAAUUGGAGAUCAUAACCAAGCUCGCCGCAGUUCCCAUGUUCAUCUUUGGGGAAAAUGGGAGACUUGUUCAUCUUCCUACUGCAACCCAGAGACAGAGUACAGAGAGAGGAUCAGCGUGUCCAUGAAGCACAGGAUAAUCCGCAACCAAAGCAUCAUCUGUACCCGAGUGCUUUGCCGUGUUAUUAUGAAGAAAAGCUACAAGAAAUUCCAGAUCAUUUUGCUUUCCACAAGAAAGCACGGGCUGCUUUGUUCUAGAGUGCUAGUUAGGGACUGUCCAAAGCGUAGAGAGCUUGUGUCUCCUAAAUGAAAGCUAAAGAGAAUAUGAACAAAAAUUGAGAAGAAGAUGACAAUCAUCUUUUUCUUGGAAAGAGAUGCGAGUCAUUAUCAUCAGACAAGAAAAAGUAGAGGGACAGCAAAUAGACAGGAAAUUGGAACAAGACAAGAGGAGAACUAAUACCCCAUCAGCAUUGCUUUAGCUCUGAAGUUAGCAGAGCAGCUAUCAGCUUGGUCUUUCUUGGUGGAGCAUCAGCAGCAGUUUGGUGCAGAUAAAAAGAUCCUGAGAGGAGAAACACAGCACGAGAACACAAUCGGCUCUGCUACCUUCUUGUGAGCAUUAAUUCUCUUUCCUGAGCCAACAUCUCUGACAAAGAACAGGGCCCAAACCAUAAAAUCUUUGGCACCUUGUAAGUGUAACUGCUGUAACUUCUCAUGCCGACCAGAAGAUGGUACGCUUUGUUGAGAGAGAAAUCAUGUGGGGUAGAAACAUGUGGCGGUGACGGAUGUCAAGGCAAAGACGACGGCAUAGAACAUGGUGUGUCUUGUUCCAAGUCCGAUUGCGUUUUCCGAGCAGUCCUCAAUGUCAGGCACUAGAAAGGCUGCAGAAACCUAUAAAGAUUCUGGAUUUUCUCAUGUACUAAAGAUCUUUCUUGGAGAUGAUCUGAGAAAGAUUACGCGUCAGAGAAUCUUCUCAUCGACAGUUGCUUCGUUCCCCAGAAUGAAUCUUCCUUUUUUUCUUGAUUCCACAGCUCGACGAAGUGCAAGAACAGAU
rnacentral:lncRNA from 1 species